rnacentral:rRNA from 1 species
AUAAGGGCGUAUGGCGGAUGCCUAGGCUUUCAGAGGCGAUGAAGGACGCGAUAAGCUGCGAUAAGCUACGGGGAGAAGCACAUAUUUUAUGAUCCGUAGAUUUCCGAAUGGGGCAACCCAGCAUGUUGAAGACAUGUUACCCGCAAGGGGGCAAACCUGGUGAACUGAAACAUCUAAGUAACCAGAGGAAGAGAAAACAAUAGUGAUUCCGUUAGUAGUGGCGAGCGAACGCGGAUUAGCCCAAACCAAUGCUGUUACGGCAGUAU